rnacentral:rRNA from 1 species
GUUGCGUCUAAAAAGCUCGUAGUCUGAAAACUUGUCUUGGCUUUCAACUGGUACCGAAUGGUAUCGCCGUUAGUCAUGUGCAAAUAUGGAUAGCUGUUUUAGCCGUCUUUAUUGACUGGUUCAUAAGAGUUAUCAGAUAUCACUUUGAUUAAAUUAGAGUGCUUAAAGCAAGUGUGUUACUUGGAUAUAAAUGCAUGGAAUGAUGGAAUAUGUUGUUAUUCUAUUUGUUGGUUUUUGAAUGAUAAAAUGAUUGAAAGGAACUGUUGGGGGCAUUCGUAUUGUUGUGAGAGAGGUGAAAUUCUUAGACCACAGCAAGACGAACUACUGCGAAAGCAUUUGCCAAGAAUGUUUUCAUUGAUCAAGAACGAAAGUUAGAGGUUCGAAGGCGAUCAGAUACCGCCCUAGUUCUAACCAUAAACUAUGCCAACUAGCAAUCCGCCGAAGUUCCUCCGAUGACUCGGCGGGCGACUUCCGGGAAACCAAAGCUUUUGGGUUCCGGGGGAAGUAUGGUUGCAAAGCUGAAACUUAAAGGAAUUGACGGAAGGGCACCACCAGGAGUGGAGCCUGCGGCUUAAUUUGACUCAACACGGGAAACCUCACCAGGCCCGGACACCGGGAGGAUUGACAGAUUGAUAGCUCUUUCUUGAUUCGGUGGGUGGUGGUGCAUGGCCGUUCUUAGUUGGUGGAGCGAUUUGUCUGGUUAAUUCCGAUAACGAACGAGACUCUAGCCUGCUAACUAGUCGCUUCCGACAUCCUUUUGCGCUGUCGGCGACACAUAAUCUUCUUAGAGGGACAGGCGG